rnacentral:rRNA from 1 species
GAUGAACGCUGGCGGCGUGCCUAACACAUGCAAGUCGAGCGAACAGACGAGGAGCUUGCUCCUCUGACGUUAGCGGCGGACGGGUGAGUCACACGUGGAUAACCUACCUAUAAGACUGGGACAACUUCGGGAAACCGGAGCUAAUACCGGAUAAUAUAGUGAACCGCAUGGUUCAAUAGUCAAAGACGGUUUUGCUGUCACUUAUAGAUGGAUCCGCGCCGCAUUAGCUAGUUGGUAAGGUAACGGCUUACCAAGGCUACGAUGCGUAGCCGACCUGAGAGGGUGAUCGGCCACACUGGAACUGAGACACGGUCCAGACUCCUACGGGAGGCAGCAGUAGGGAAUCUUCCGCAAUGGGCGAAAGCCUGACGGAGCAACGCCGCGUGAGUGAUGAAGGUCUUCGGAUCGUAAAACUCUGUUAUUAGGGAAGAACAAAUGUGUAAGUAACUAUGCACGUCUUGACGGUACCUAAUCAGAAAGCCACGGCUAACUACGUG